CUCUCUCUCUCUCUCUCUCUCUUCUCUUUAAUAGAUCAUCAUGUUCCUUCAACCCGAGUUUCUCGCGUUUUGAUACAAAGAACACGGAAUAAAAUAGUUGGACGUUGGACAAGGAUAGGAAGUGUUGAGAGCUGUUCCUAGUGCUCGCUGCGUGUAACAGCCACUCCAUGUGGAAAUGUAUUGCAGUGCCAGUGGAGGAGCUGUUACCUGCAGAGAGUCACACGUGACGGAAGCCGGAAGUGCUGCGCCCAUGGGUGCCUCUCCCGCACGCGGAACUGUGCGCUGUGUAUAAUGCAUCUGUAUACAUUUAAAAUGAGGCCUCAUCAUCACUAACUAUACAAAACAUGCUUUUAAUGAAACAUUUGUGCAAUUAGAAAUAGUUCACGUUUUAUUUAACUAACAAUAAACAAAUGAAAUGUUUAAUGUGAGUGCUGUCGCAGCAAAUCUUUCGUUUAAUUAAGGUAAAGCAACGACUCCAUUGCAUCUGUGUCUGUUGUCAAAUGUCUGUUUAUCAUGCACUAAUACUGCUGUCCACUAGGGUACACUCUUGACUAAUGUUCUGUGUCAAUUCAUAUUAAAAUACAAUCUGCCCUACA